rnacentral:other from 1 species
GGCAAAGCCUGCCUGCGCGGGCUA